CAGCAAUGUGAUGCUGCCUGUGAAGCCGGCUCAAAGGCGGAGGUGCUGUGGGUACUGCGCAAUGCAAGGAUGAAGGUUUGGUGAUGUCCUCCGGUGCCCCUUUUGAUUUCACUCCAUGCUGAUUACUUGGAGAUGCACAACUGCUUCUGGAUUGCCCUUGAAGUCCACUUCACAUGGAUUAUACUAGCAACUGGUUCUUGUUCCAAUUCAACACAAGAGGGCCUUGCAAGCAGAGUUAUACAGAUGCUGUACGGCAGGAAAAGGCGGGAGGGAGGUGAGUUCUUGCUUGCUUUAUGGGUGUAAGUGGAGACCUCAAAGAUGCCCUCGACCUGCUUUCAGAGCUGCAGCCAAUGAGGGAGACCACGUAGGAGGGAAAUUCAGGCUAGACUACAAAGAAUGUGCAGGACCAGCUUUAAUGCUCAGUGGAUCAUUGCACAUCCAAUCACUGUGUAAUCACCCAAAAUAAUUGU